rnacentral:rRNA from 1 species
CGUAGUUGGAUUUCUGGCCCAAUGCGCCUGGCCCGCGGCAGUAAUGCCUGUGAGUGCCGGUGCGCGUUGGCCAUCCUUCUAGAAAACGUCCCUACCGUUAACUCGGCCGGAUUCGUGAUCUAGAUCUUUUACUUUGAAAAAAUUAGAGUGUUCAAAGCAGGCCUAUGCUGUGAAUACAUUAGCAUGGAAUAAUAAUCUAGGACUUCGGUUCUAUUUUGUUGGUUUCUAGAAUUGAAGUAAUGA